rnacentral:piRNA from 1 species
UAUGACAUCUCUGUGAUGGAAAGCCAUCAA